CCUCCCCCACCUACCGCUCCCACUCCCUCUCCCUCUCAGCCUCUCUCCCCCUCGCGAGAUCCCCUUUUCCGAGCUCGUCUGCUCAUUGUCGUCGCCGUUGCCGCGGCCACCAGCCACCCCGAGCGCUGCCAGGUUGCCCACGGACCCGUCAGUGUCCUCUUCCUCCUCUACGACGUUCCUCAAGGGCCGGGAAGGACAUGCAGCACCGCCCCCAACUCCUUCCUCCUCGGGCUCCGGCGGCCAUCGCUUCAGGUCGAGCCACCCCGAGCUCCUCCGGCAUCCACGGGCCGUCUCAGCAACGCCGGUGAGCACCUUGACCGGCCCCUCUUCCCUCUGCCCCUCCUCGUACACCAUAGGCCGUUCCACACCGACGCCUGAGCUCCGGCUUCCGGCGCGCCGCUCGUCGUCGUUGUUUCGGUCGACGUUGCGUUCGACCGAGUCCUCGAUCAUACUCGUCGACGCCGUACUAGGACGUAGCACCAGCCCGCAGUCCCUGCCGAGCCUCUCUUCUGCUGCCGCCCUGCUGAACUGCUGCUGCUCGAGGCGCCAGUCGGAAGCCCCUGCCGGCCGCGCCUCGCUGCGCCUCUCCGCUUGCCCCGCAGCUUCAUGCUGCUGGUGGCGCCGCUCCCCCGCCUCUCCUGGCCACCACCGCCGCCGCACAGCUCCGGCCGAUUGUGCCCCCCCACUUUUCGGUCUCUCGUGCGCCUUACUGGCCCUGGCCGCCGGCGCCUCGCCGCGUCGCAGCCUCGCCCCCACGCCCGGGCGGGAGGCGUUGCGCCGGGUCCGCCCCGACGUGCGCCCGCUCCCAUUAACCUGCCCCAGCCGGCCCCUGGGCCACUGCCAAAGGGCCACACCAGCCCCUUUUUCUUAAAAAAGAUAAAAAUAAAAAUAAAUAAAACUAUAUAAUUAAUUAAUUAAUUAACUUAAUUAAGUUUACUUAGUUAACUUAACCUGCUAAUUAAACUACCUAAUUGUAAUUAGUCAGAUGAGUCUAUGACAAGGGGACCCCACCCCGUGUUGACCAGUCAACGUUGACUGGUCAACUGGGACCCCAUGGCCUACCUGUCAGCCACUGGGUACAGUACUGUGUACCCUGUGCUGGGUGCAUCUAGCAUUUUUGCAUUUAUUUUUGAAUUAUUAAUAAUUUCAGAAUAUUGAUAAAACUUUAGAAAAUCAUAGAAAAUAAUUCGUAACUCGGAUAAAAAAGUUUUAUACAUGAAAGUUGCUCAGAACGACGAGAUGAAUCCGAAUACGCGGUUUGUUCGCCCACCACACAUCCCUAGCAUAGCAAUCAUGCAACCUUUCCCCUCCAGUUCAUCUAUCUGACAGACGUCCGGAACCGGGAAAACUUUCCCGGAGGUAGUCCCCCUUCGCCGGUAUUGUGUAGCACCGCAUUAGAACACGUCUAGCUCUGCCUGUUGUCCUGUUAUGCUCUUGCUUGCUAUGUAUUUACUGUUUUCUCCCCCCUCUUCUUCUCCGGUAGACCUCGAGACCGCUGCUGGUGCCCCUGUCAUCGAAUACGUCGACGAUGACCCCCCUUCUUGUCUGAGAAACCAGGCAAGCCCCCCUUUGAUCAUCCCGAUAUCGCCCAUUCUAUACUCUCAUGCUUGCAUUAGAUUUUGCUACUGUUAUUGUUUGCUCCUAUUCUGAUGCAUAGCCUGCUUUUGUACCUGCUAUUGUUACCUACCGGCUUAUCCUAAACUGCUUAGUAUAGGUUGGUUAGUGAUCCAUCAGUGACCCCCACCUUGUCCUUGUUGCCCCUGCUUCAUCUUCGACGACUGAAAAAACGUGAUCGAGGACCAGAGCCUGACACCUCAAAUCACAUCACACCCUUUUUUGUUGCUCGACUCUGCAGAGGUACUAUCGAGUGCCGAGGGUGAUCCCUCAUAACGCACUCCUGAUGAUAAUUCUGUAGUGUAGCUAUUCGGUCGUGGUCAUCGAGGGUGAUUUCCUCUUUCACCAUUCCCGAUACGGCUCUAUCGUUCAACACCUCAAGUGUGAACCUCGAGGGUGGUCCCUCUUAUGUUCACCUUGAUGAUUACAUUGAGUGGAAUCCACCGGGGGUGAUUCCUCAGGUUUUCCCCUUGAUGUUUGGACACACUGUUACCUUGACUUUACUUGAGACCAUUGUUGAAGUCGGGUCGGCCCUGAGGGGUACCCGCGAGUUGAUAUGAAAGUCGGGCGGGCCCGUAGAGCACCCACAAGUUUUCCACGUGGCACGGCCGGGCAGUCUAGGCCCUUGCUGUAAGUCCAUGAGACGGGGCGAUGGGGUCACCUUAUCGUGAACCUCUGCUCGUUUCCGCGAACCCCCACUGCACUAACAGGUUUGGGUAUUUGUUCUGAGUUAGCCUCUGGCCUUUACGCACUAACCACAACGCGAGAAUAGAUAUGGGCCUCGACGUCGCAGUAUUAGCCGAAGCUUUGUCAGACAUCUAGUUCAGCAUUGUGGCACGGUCGGAUCGUGCUGGCCAUCUGAGGCGGUGCUGGUAUCCACCUUGCACACAACGACCCUGAGUGCUGCGAGCAAUGGGCCCUAGACCCCGGAGUGCUUAGGAUGUAGACCGGCGGGGACCUCUCUACUGAGCCUAGGUAGGGCUGUGACAUGUUGAUCUUCCGAGGCCGGGCAUUGACCCCAGAAAGGUGUGUCCGGCCAAAGUGAUCGAGCGUGUUGGGUAAUGUGGUGCACCCCUGCAGGGAAGAUAUAUAUUCGAAUACCGUGUCCACGCUAAUGGACGUUCAGACUUAUAUCCUGAUCUUAUAUAACUAGAAAUGGAUACUUGAGAUAUGUGAGGGAUAUGUGGCUCCGAGAUUGCUUCCCCGUAGGGAGUUGGGGAAGGAUCUCUGGGCGUUGGUUGUACAACAUGCUUGUUAAAUAUUAAAAUGCUACUCUUUACUCUUCUACGUGCUGCAAGAUGCUUGGAGCUGCUUGAAGAUGCUAGCCUUUGAUAGGCUAGGCCUUCCCCCUCUAUUCUGGCAUUCUGCAGUUUAGUCCACAGAUACAACCCGUCCAUUUGAUACCAAUGCAUACUUAGUAUAGAUCUGAUGCUUGCGAGUACUUUGGACGAGUACUCACGGUUGCUUUGCUCCCUUUUUCCCCCUUCUUUCUUCUUUCCGGUUGAUGCAACCAGAUGAUGGAUCCCUAGAGCCAGAUGCCACCGUCGAUGGAUGGUACUACAUGGAGACCGCGCCGACGACCAGGAGUAGUUAGGAUGUCCCAGGCAGGAGGCCUUGCCUCUUCGAUCGUUGUUGCUUUUGUGCUAGCCUCCUUAAGGCAUCCUUGUUUAACUUAUGUCUGUACUCAGUUAUUGUUGCUUCCGCUGACUCUUGUGUAUCGACCUUGUAUUCGAGCCCUCAAGGCCCCUGGCUUGUAAUAUAAAACUUGUAUUAUUUUGAUUUGUGUCUAGAGUUGUGUUGUGAUAUCUUCCCGUGAGUCCCUGAUCUUGAUCGUACACAUUUGCGUGUAUGAUUAGUGUACGAUUGAAUCGGGGGCGUCACAAGUUGGUAUCAGAGCCGACUGCCUGUAGGAUCCCCCUUUCCAACUCCUUGGCCGAAGUUGAGUCUAGUCUUUGAAAAAUUGUUUUACUAACAUGGUUGUGUGGCUUAUGGGCCAACGUCGCCAUUGGUUGGUAUUAGGAUCUUUUACUCCUCAACCUUUACUCUGGGACUUUAAUCUCUCUUCUAUUCGGGUUAGAUGUUUUUAUUAAAUCUAACUCUAGGUUCUCGUAAAUACUUUCUCCCAGAGAGCCCCUUUACUCCAGAUGAUUGCUUGGUGCACGAGAAGAUUCUGAAGAUACUCUCCAAUGUUUUACCGAGUCCCUUGUACACUUCACCAUUGCGAUCCCUACCACCGAUAAAUCCUUAGGUGUAACUACCUACAUUGUCGUUCAUACAGCCAUUCCUCGUUGAUCUUGCUAUUACAAGAUACCCUGAAUUUCUCCUUAUUGUUCCGAGAAUACCUUGUGCCUACUGCAUUGCAGUUCCUCAUCGCAUGAAUACCCCUAUGGAUAAUUACUCGUUCUUAUCGAGUAUCCGUUCAUCCCUAGUUAUCCUUAUGCUUCAUAAGAUACUUCGUGAUACAAUCCGAGCUUUCGAUGACCUCUGCCGCCUAUUGCUCUAGAAGGUCUUACCUGCCUACACUCUAGUUAAUUCCAUAUGCCUAGCAAUAUCCAUUGACGUCCUUUGUCAUUAUCAUCUUACGUCUUUCGAUUUGAUAUGUUUAUGUCGCAAUCAUCAGUUGAUCCUUAUAAAUUCUCAUUCCUGCUCAAACGUCUUCCUGAACAUGACCUGGUUCUCGG
rnacentral:lncRNA from 1 species